AUUGAACGCUGGCGGCAUGCCUUACACAUGCAAGUCGAACGGCAGCAUGAUCUAGCUUGCUAGAUUGAUGGCGAGUGGCGCACGGGUGAGUAAUACAUCGGAACGUGCCCUGUAGUGGGGGAUAACUAGUCGAAAGAUUAGCUAAUACCGCAUACGACCUGAGGGUGAAAGUGGGGGACCGCAAGGCCUCAUGCUAUAGGAGCGGCCGAUGUCUGAUUAGCUAGUUGGUGAGGUAAAGGCUCACCAAGGCGACGAUCAGUAGCUGGUCUGAGAGGACGAUCAGCCACACUGGGACUGAGACACGGCCCAGACUCCUACGGGAGGCAGCAGUGGGGAAUUUUGGACAAUGGGCGCAAGCCUGAUCCAGCAAUGCCGCGUGUGUGAAGAAGGCCUUCGGGUUGUAAAGCACUUUUGUCCGGAAAGAAAUGGCUCUGGUUAAUACCUGGGGUCGAUGACGGUACCGGAAGAAUAAGGACCGGCUAACUACGUG
rnacentral:rRNA from 1 species